AACACAAUGUAAGUCGAACGAAGCAUCCCUAUCGCAAAGUGGACGUGCUGCACAGAAGCGGAGUCGACCUGGGAUGACUGAGUGGCGGACGGGUGAGUAACGCGUGGGCAACCUGCCCCAUAGAGGGGGACGAACAGUUGGAAACGACUGCUAAUACCGCAUAGUAAGAUAGAUCCGCAUGCUUCUAUCUUGAAAGCUUUUGCGCUAUGGGAUGGGCCCGCGUUUGAUUAGCUAGUUGGUGAGGUAACGGCCCACCAAGGCGACGAUCAAUAGCCGGCUUGAGAGAGUGAACGGCCACAUUGGGACUGAGACACGGCCCAAACUCCUACGGGAGGCAGCAGUGGGGAAUAUUGCACAAUGGGGGAAACCCUGAUGCAAGCGACGCCGCGUGAGUGAAGAAGUAUUUCGGUAUGUAAAGCUCUAUCAGCAGGAAAGAUAAUGACGGUACCUGACUAAGAAGCCCCGGCUAACUACGUGCCAGCAGCGGC
rnacentral:rRNA from 1 species